UCUCCCGAUCUGGAUCAGGAGCUUGUCGGCGCCGCCCAACCUGCCUUCCCCAGCUAGCCGGCCACCCUCUCCUCCUUCUCACUGUCGCUUCAUCUCCUAGCCUCCCUCCCUACUCCCAACCUCCACCGGCCGCCACAUGAUUCACCCCCCUUGAUCCUCUCCACCUUCCACACUAGAGCCCGUGGGCCGCGGUACCCACUCUGUUGCCUCUAGGACCCUGGCCUCCUUCCUCCCAACACCGGAGCGCAACUACCUUCUUCCUCCUGGCGCAAGAGGUGCCGCGCGCGGCCGCGCUCCAUGUGUCCCCCGCAACUCUUCGAUCCCCCUGUCCCGACCCCAGAUCCGGCGAGGAUCCACCAGGCGGUGCCUCAGCCGUCACCGUCGGGAUGCUUUGGAUCGGGCGACAGGGGAGCCCCCGCGCGGCCAUGCACUGGAUCCCCUGUCUUCCUCGCUGGAUUCGGCCUUCGCCAGCAACACCUACGCUCAGGAGGUCCCACCACCGCAUCCCCGACCCGCCACUGUGACUCCGCGACACGACCCGCCACCGCGCUCCUCACCUCGACUUCCUCCCAUCCGUCAUGGAGCGAGGGACCCGACCCCUAGAUCCGUCAAGCUCAGCUCCCUCUUCCAGCCACGCGACCCCACACCUCCCAGCGUGGACGGGUCUGUGGCGCUCACCCACACAGGAUCCCUCCCCCUCCCUGGACUCCGGCAGUCCCGUUCCCAUGGCGCGCCAGCAGGUUGCUCUUCGUUGCAGGUUGGUUGGAUUGUUGGUGCAGUACCCAAAUCGCUAGUGUUUUCGCUAAUGCUCGCACACAUCACUGGAGGUUCACCGGAGCACCCCCUCGCAGCUCUGUCCUUCCCCAACAUGUAGUUCACUGGCGACGGCCUUCAGUUCAUUUUGGUUGCUGUUGAUGCCAUCGCCACAACAGUACAGACAGGUCAGAGUCGACCACCUCACCUCCUCUCCCUGACAGCGUCAAGUUUGGUUGUUGCAUGCAUUUGCAGUAUACCAGGCGUGGGCGUGCAGUGCGCAAGGCGACAGCCUGAAGUUUGGUUCUGGGACGCACUUGCAGUACACCAGGCGUGCCCGUGCAGUGUGCAAGCCGACGGCAUGCAGUGCGCAAGGUGCCAGCCUGAAGUUUGGUUGUGGCAUGCACUUGCAGUACACCAAGCGUGCACGUGCAGUGCGCAAGCCGACGACAUGAAAUUUGGUUGAGGCGUCCCUCUCCUUGUCGUCUACAUGGAUCCAGCGCCCCGUGGUCGUCUCUCAUUCCGUCAACAAGAGGGCCAGGGUCGUUGCUCACUGUUCACAUUUUUUUCCACGCUACCCCUUAUCACUUCUUGUGUUUGUUUGGCAAUUUCACCAACGUGUCUUGGGUUCACAUGUUCGUUGGUGCAGCUCGAAGCUCCCUCGCCCGAUGCCAGCAAAUAGGCUUCCUUGUGAAGUUCAAUAGCGCCACCAAUGGUUCAUGGAUAAACUAUUUGAUAUGCUUCAAAGAAGAGUAGAAGGAAAAAAAAUUGAACAAAGGUUUCUGCUGAAGCUUUUGCGUUGAGGAGUGAGAGGAGCUGUUAAAUAUUUAACUUUCUUUUUUCCUUUUGGCAAUUGGCCUAUUUUGUUCUGGAGUUGUCUUAAAUUUUUCGCUGUGAUUGAGAAAAAGGUUUUGGAGUUCACUAGCAAAAAUGAGCGACUGUGUGCUUGCAGUACGUCCAGAGAGUGUGUGCGGUUAGGCGGGGCAGGCACUGCAUCGUGUCAUUGCAUUUAAAAAAAUGUGGAGUGGGUUGUAUUUUGUGUGCGAUGAUUGUAACUUGGAGACCGAGAAAGGGAUGCAAUUUUUUUA